rnacentral:lncRNA from 1 species
AUGGGGAGAGCUGGACCAGGAGACAUGAGUGAAGAGAGGAGGCGGUGUGAGAAUGUGGAGGAUAUGGCACUCAUCCAUGUGACUGUGUCGCACUGGGGCUUCAUAAUCUAUGAACUCCUGAGUCCACUGAGUUCUAGGAACUAUGGAACAGUUAGCACAGUUCUGAAGUUGUGGUCACAACAAUGGUAGCAGGAGGCUACUUAGAAGGCCUGAUAGAACAGCAGUGAUUGGAAGAACAACUGCAGAAAACCAAAGUGGAAACGGACCCAAAGCAACUGGGAAAAUUUUUGUUUUACAUCAAAUACUGGUUUUUCUUUACUAAAAGGUUAUAUCAAGUCAGAGAUUGCUCUAUUUCUGUAUAAAAAUUCCUCUUUGACAAAAAAAAUACCUUAUUAAAUCUAAAUAAAGCAGGAGGGGGUGGGGAGCA